rnacentral:lncRNA from 1 species
GUGUGUUAUUUUUUUUGGAUUCAUUUUUAUUUUAGAUUCUCUAAGAUUAAUUUUGAUAAAAUCAAUUCUUUAGAAACUUAUAAAAAAGCACAAAUCAAAAGGUUUUCAUGUUGAUAAAAGUAUAAAAAAUUAAAAUCACUCAAGUUGAAAACUAUGAAUAUUAAAAUAGUUUAUCAUUAAAAGAAUUGAAAAAAACCAUAGAAUCAAUAAAAAAUAACAUUCUCUCAACUUCUAUUAAAAAUAAUUUUCUUUAAAAACUAAUCAAAAUAGCUAUUUCGUUAUCAACAUGAAAAUUAGUUCUUAAGAAAACAAUUUUUGAGAAUAAUCUAUACUUAAACAUCACCAAAUAAAAAAUCCAGAACAAUAUAGACUGGCGGAGUCUAGGGUGGGAAAGGGCCCUAGGUCUCCCAUGGUGGGAAAGUAAUAUUAUCCGUUCGAUUGUGAGGUUCUAUGGAUGUUACGACACACCACCAACAUCUUAUACAUUUUCUAUCUCUCUCUUUCUCUGUGCCUCCUAUGCCCAUCACCACCACCUUGUUUCAAACCGAAAACCCAGAAAACUGUGAAGAAGAAGAAGAAGAAGAAGAAGAAGAAGAAGAAGAAGAAGAACAAUAAUUAUCCUGUAAUGAGUUUGAGUUUAUUGAAGUUAUUGGUACUUAAGUGUUAAUUAAACAAACCUCUUCUACCAUGUUGCUUAACGAAAUUGAUAAUAAUACCUUUCUUCCCUUCUUCGAUCAAAUCAUAUCAGCAACAAACAACAAUUGCAAUUUCAUGAUUUUAAUCUCGCCCCACUUCAGUUUCCUUUUUCUUCCUCAAUUUUAAUUUCACUCGGCCAUUUAUUUUUUACCUCUUUUCUUUCUUCCUUAUUUUGAUUUUUUUAUUUAUUUGCUUUCAAACUCAAAUUCAAAUGCUUCUUUAUGUUCAUGUGUCCCAGAAAAUGCUCCUGUUUCAACACAAUUUUUUUCAACACAGUGCACAAGCUUGCUAUGGGAAACCAAAUUUGUGAGAGUCUGAGAGAUUGAUACCAUUGUGGAUUUGUUUAGCCCUUUGUUUGGUGCCGAGGUGUGUUGCAUCUAUAUGGGUUCUUCAAGAUUUAGUUUUUGCUUUUUUGUGAGAUGGGUGCAUCCCAUUUUUUGUUUGACCGAUAGAUAGGUGAUUACACAGUGCAGAAAGUCUAUGAUAAUCUAUUGUAAUCUAACAGAUAAUAUUACUUUCCCACCCAUUGCAUUAAAAUCACCAAAACUAACCACUGACUUCAUUUUCCGUUCCCUUCUUUCGAUAUACUUCAAAUACAUUAAUUAGCAUUUUGUUUGAAUAUUAUUAGUAUUAAUGCUACUCAGGGGCGUCUCCGAGUUUUAGGAGGCUCUGUGCAAAAUAUAAAAGUGACCCCUUAAUAAAAAAAAAUUAAAAAAAUUAUCAAUUUAAAUUGCAUAUAAUAUAAAAAAAAAUUCUUGUAAACAUAAAUUAUGAAUAUUAAAUCUUACAUUAAAUUAAAUGGAACAAGAAAUACAAAAUAACUAUCUUUGAAUAUAACGUCAAAAAGGAACAUCAU